GGGCGGCGACUAGGGUGAGAUUGGGUUAGAGCAGGAGAGAGAGAAUAGAGAAAUGAGUGCAGGGCUUGAGAUGAGAGAAGGGGGGAGUGUAGCAGAGAGGGAUUAAUGUAAAUGUUAGUGUUUUGUUGAGGGAAGUGGGUGGAAGGGGAUAUUUUGAUCUUUAGGGAGAUGAGAGAGAAGGAGAGGAGGAGAAUAUAGAGCAUUGCUCUGAUAG